CUGGAGGAAAAUUCAAAAUGCCUCAAAUGAAAAUGCCCAACGUCGACAUUUCCCUGCCAAAAGGAAAGAUUGAAGGUCCACAUGUUGAAAUGGAGGGAAGUACUGGAGGAAAGUUCAAAAUGCCUCACAU